AUGGCAGCGUAUGAGGUCGACCCUGCCCUGUUCCUGCCCGGCAGAUUCACGGCUGUGGAGGUGGCGAACAGACCACCGAUGUGUCACCACCAUGUCAGCUCCCUGGUGCCAGCCAACCACGAAGAUGUCGCCAUCGUCACCAUUGUGCCGGCACCUAAUGGUCAUAUUCCGUUUGCCCAAGUUCGAGCCUUCAUUCGCAGCUUUGUUGAGGAUCAUUUGCAUUUUUCAAUGGAUAUGAUUCAAAAAUGCCCUCUCGGUCAGGCUUACAUUCAACUAGACUCUAGUGCCGACAGAGACUGGCUUGUAGAUCGCAGUCCGCAUAAUUUUCAGAAUCAUCAGAUCACUUUUGUUCGCCAUAAUGAAGGGAUAAACAAUCGUAGUUUCACUUAUAACCAUGUUUGUUGGUUGGCUCUGCUUUCUUUCCCUGUGGACCUGUGGGAAGUCAAUCAUAUCAAGGGUGCAGUAGAAGAUUUUGCUGAGGUUGUCCAAUGGGACAAAGUAGCAAGUGACUAUUCCAGAGUUGUUCUCAAAGUCCUUGUGGCGGAUGUGGCGCUUAUUCCCCACAGCUGCAUUUUGUCGGCUGGCAACAAACACCAAGCAGAAUCUUGGUCUGUGCCUAUCAUUAUUCUGAGCCAUUCCAUGCUGGGUGGGCUUCCAGCGGACGAGGAUGAGUUCCCACCUGAUGGAGGAAACCCACACCCUCUACCUGCACCACCACAGGAGCAUGCCAACCAGCCAAACUUGGAGUUGUGGCCUGCAUGGGGACAAGUUCAACACCAUGCACAUGAUGUGCAUCUUAAUGUGGACCAUCAAUAUCAGCAACAUCAUCAGGUGAACCAGUUUGGACUGAAUCUGAAUAUGAUUUUGGAUCACCAACAGCAUCAGCAGGCAGACGAGCACAUGGGCCAUAAUGACUUUGUUGAGAUCAAUGACUUGGUGGGACCACAUGAGCUUGAUGCAGCAGCCUUUCAACAGUUACAGGACAUGAUAAACCCUGUCAUUCACAACAAUCCACAUGCUGCUCCUGUGCCACACUUGCCUGAUAUUGAUUUGAACCUGGCAGCCUUCAAAGACGACAGUGAUCUGACUGUCACCAUCAGCUCUGAUGGUGAUCCCUCUCAUGGUUCAGUCCAGCAAGUGGUGCAGGAACACAAUCAUUUACUCCACAACAUUCAGAUUGGUAUGGUCUUGAUCCAGGAAGACACACCCACCAUCAGUUUGGGGAAGGAUUGUACUUUGAUUGAGUCUCAGACCCACACUGAGGCAGUCUCUACUCACCCAAUCUUGGGAGAUCUAUUUGUCAAUACUCAGAAAAAUUCAGUCAAUGCUACUCUACCUGAUCUGAACAUGCAGUCUGGAUCCUCAGAGGAAAUGGGCCUUUCUGAGAAGAUUACUGAACAAGUGUCUGCAUAUGUAAACAACGCGACUUUUGUGCCAUAG
rnacentral:rRNA from 1 species